UUCGCAAUGCCCGAAAGGGUGACGAAGCGACGCCGCGUGGGUGAGGAAGGCCUUCGGGUUGUAAAGCCCCGUCAGGAGUUAAGAAAUGUAGACUCGCUAAUAUCGGGUCUAUUUGACAAAGGCUCCAAAGGAAGCCACGGCUAACUCUGUGCCAGCAGCCGCGGUAAUACAGAGGUGGCAAGCGUUGUUCGGAAUUAUUGGGCGUAAAGAGCACGUAGGUGGAUUUGUAAGUCAGACGUGAAAGCCUUCUGUUCAACGGAAGAAUUGCAUCUGAAACUACAAACCUUGAGUGUAGGAGGGGAGAAUGGAACUUCUGGUGGAGCGGUGAAAUGCGUAGAUAUCAGAAGGAACGCCGGCGGCGAAAGCGAUUCUCUGGCCUAUUACUGACACUCAGUGUGCGAAAGCUAGGGGAGCAAACGGGAUUAGAUACCCCGGUAGUCCUAGCCGUAAACGAUGGGCACUAAGUAGAGGGGUUUU
rnacentral:rRNA from 1 species